ensembl:snRNA U6 U6 spliceosomal RNA
UUGUUCUCACUUAAUCAACACACAUACUAAAAUUGAACAUUACAGAGAUUAGCAUGGCCCCUGUAUAAGAUGUUAUGCAUAUUUUUAAAGCACUGCAUAUUUUU